CCUACGGGAGGCAGCAGUGAGGAAUAUUGGUCAAUGGACGUAAGGCUGAACCAGCCAAGUAGCGUGCGGGAAGACUGCUCUAUGAGUUGUAAACCGCUUUUAUGCGAGGGUAAACGUGUAUACGCGUAUCUGUUUGCAGGUACCGCAUGAAUAAGGAACGGCUAAUUCCGUGCCAGCAGCCGCGGUAAUACGGAGGGUUCAGGCGUUAUCCGGAUUUAUUGGGUUUAAAGGGAGCGUAGGCGGUUGGUUAAGCUUGCCGUGAAAUUUUGUGGCUCAACUGUGGAAGUGCCGCGCGUACUGGCUACCUUGAGUGCACGUAAGGCAGGCGGAAUGCGUGGUGUAGCGGUGAAAUGCUUAGAUAUCAUGAAGAACCCCGAUUGCGAAGGCAGCCUGCC
rnacentral:rRNA from 1 species